CCGUCUGAAACACGGCCAAGAAGUCUUGAAUGCGCGCGAGUCAAAGGGCUGGCUAAACCCCAAGGCGAAACGAAAGUAAUGAAGUUGCUUAAAAAUUUUUUUUUUUUUCGCAGCUAAAUAGGGCUGAUCCGGUUCGGGGAUGAGGGUUUCUUACUCUCGCCCCGAUUCGUCACUAUUAAUUUAAAUAUGUGGACGGCGCAAGCCCGGGGCCCGCAGGCUGCUCCUCCCCGUCGUUAAUGGCGCGGGACGAGUCGCGGGUACCUUGAGCGUGCAUUGAAGUACCCGAAAGAUGGUGAUCUAUGCGUGGCGAGGAUGAAGCCAGGGGAAACUCUGGUGGAGGUCCGCAGCGGUUCUGACGUG
rnacentral:rRNA from 1 species